UCCUGGUUAGCUCGGUUGGUAGACCACUCCGCUAGAAAGGGAGAGGCCCCUGGUUCGAUACAAGGACCAGGCG
rfam:Ixodes scapularis strain Wikel colony gcontig_1108379322316, whole genome shotgun sequence.